rnacentral:sRNA from 1 species
AAAAUUUUCAAAUUUUUAUGGGUUUUCUAUGCCUUAGAUGAUGCAAAAUUUGAAUAAGAAAACAUGAAACAAUGUUAGAUACAUCUUGAACCCUCCCCCUAACUUAAAUUACACAGUCCCUUGUGUAAUAAAAAUUCAAAGAAGAAUUCAAGAGAAAUAACCACACAAAGCAAGAAAUAAAAGAAAUGCAAUGAUAUAUACAGUGAAAUGGAGUGAUACCUCAACAUUUAAACGAAGAGGUUCUGGACAAACUCGUCCAGGCGGUCUUGUGUGUACUCAGGAUCACGUGUGGAGGUGUUGGGGUUGUUGGGGUUGUACUCGGUUGACCCGUCGGGCAUGUAGCCCGGGUAGUACUCCUCUCGGCUUGGGUUAGCGUUCAGAACCAACUGGUUCACUGGACCGGGAAGGCGGCUGUUGAAACGGCGAUCUGAGAAGGUGGAGCUCCUCCCGAGCUCGUAGUUUGAGGCUCUUGGCGGGUCGAAACGAGCGUCCCUUCGCGGUGCCACACUUGUUGAGUUACUUCUCCUGAACUCGGGUCGAGGUGGUGGUGAUCUCUGUCUUCGUUGCAGCUCCUGAAUCUGAACCGUCAUGCCGUCCAUUGCUCUCUUCAUCUUUCUCACCUUCUUCUUCAACCCACUGAACAACUUCCUCUGAAACUUGCCCAAACCUUUGAGCAUUCCCAACUUCUUGUGAACUUGACCGGGAUCUCUCUCUUGAUCGGACUCAGCAUAAUCCUCAAAGAAAAACUGCUCUGCUGCAGCUUCGCACGAAUCUUCUUGUUCAUCAAACUGUUCAGCUUGACUGAACUCAGCUUGUUCAAACUCGGCCUGGCCAUACUCGGCCUGGCCAUACUCGGCCUGCUGAAAGUUACUCGGCCGAGUAUAGGCUUCCUGCCAGCUUCUUCUUCAUUCCACUCUGCUCCUUCUUCUUGAGACUCACUCCCUAUGCUCGGCUCUGCUUGUAGGGGCGCAAGGACAUUGACUAAGAUCGAUUGAGGAGGAUUAAAGUCAAUGUUGUUCCCAAUCCUAAUGGUGGUGAACUUCUUGCAAGGGAGUGCUAGCCUAGAGAGCCCUAGCGUGGAGUGCUUGAACUUGAAAUAGAGUUGAUCCGCUUGAGCAGACCUAUCCAAGUAGCACUUCCUCUUCAAAUACUCCAUAUCGAUGUAGGUUGCUGUGUGAGUUGGGGUAUGAAGAGGAACUCCAACGGCUAUUAGGAUGGGCGUGAUCACUCCUCCAGCACAUAAGCUUCCUCCAUAGUCGGAUUGGUGGAUUCCGGCUGCAUACUCCCUAAAACCAAUCAAGUGAUCAAUCAACACCACCGAAAGGGAUGUAUCAGCCCUAUCCCCUUCCAUCUCUAUCCCAUUCCUUGUGCGCCCCAAAAUGAAGCAUAAGGUGAGAUCAAGCAACUUCAGCUCUCCCUCAUUAACAUGGCCGGUUGUCUUCUUCGGGAAGAAAGCACUUGCAAUGCAAAGGUGGAGAUACCUAAGCACCGGGCUCCUUAUCAACGAACUCUUGGCCCUAGAUGACUUGUAGGGGAGUGGACCGGCGAUUGUCAACCAUAGAUCAAGGAGCUCGUCCUUGCUAAAGUUUUGGCGGAUUCCAUACUUGGUGGGGAACUUGAAAACAACAUCCAACUGCCUAAUGGGAACCGAGUAUUGAAUUCCAAACACCAUGAAUGUGAUAUAGCCAACUCCCUUAUGCAGCUCUCUCUCCCUUUCUUCAGCAUAGAAAUGAAGCUUCAAAGUGGCUAGGAAUUGGCAGCUCUCAGUUUUGUACCCUUCACACUUGUAGGAGAAAAAGGUCUCCAGCUUGGCCAUCUCCAUGAGGUUGUCAACAUCCCUACAUAUCCCCAAAGCUUGCAUGGUAGAUCUAUGGAGAUAUCUUGUCCCCUCAAAACUCAGCUCCAUGAGAUAUUGGUAGUGCUCUUCAAUGGUAGGUUCUUUCUUUCUCCUCAUGGUGUUCCUUCUUCUACUUGUAGGAACUAUCGGGACCUCUUCAUCAACUUGCGCAUCUUCCUCAGAUGCUUCCUUCUCUAUCUCAGGCACUUCUUCUUCUGCAACUGGCUCGGACUCCAAGACCCUCUUGCCUCUUGCUAUUUUCUCUUGAGCAGCCGCAGAAAGACCCAUAGAGGACUCCGGGGCCAUACUCGGCCAUUGUACUCGGCCUGUCAUCCGAGUAAAACCAGGACUCGCAGCUUCCUGAUUCUUUGACUGAUUCUUCUCAUUAAUCAUCUCAUACCCUCUUGCCACGGCUCGAGCAGAGGCUCUCCUUCUUGAUUCCUCGGGAUUCAUGAUCUUGGGAUGAUUUACUGCAGGUAGUCACCACAAAAUAACCAAAGGUAGGUCAAAGUAGAAGAGAAAUUGAUGUUUAAGAAUGAACAAAGGUUGCAAGAGAGGUUUUGAAAAGGUUUGUAACAAGAGAUUUUGGUAAAAUUUCUGAGAAAUCUAGAGAAGUGGGAGUAAGAACUUGAAAUGUUUGGAGAGAAGGAGUAAAAUUCGAAAUUUUUGAGCAAAGAGAGAGUGUGAGUGACUUAGCUUGUUGAGUGUGGUUUUAUAGACAAGAAGAUUUGAUCCUAGCCCUCCAAACACCUUAGAUCCGCACCCUUCAUUUGGUCAAGGGGACAUGUCUCACUAUUUGCAGCAGAAUCUUUGAAGGGCUUUGGGGAGCAGGAUUUGAUUGGUGGGGCCGAGCAAAUUCGAAUUCAAAUUUGAAUUUGAAUUGUGUUAACCUCGCACGUGUGAACUCGGCCGACAUACUCGACGCGCGUGUCGAGUACAGUGUUGGGCCUGAUGGGCUUCUUUUUCUGACUCGGCUUCGGGCCGAGUGCUGCAUCUUGUUGGGCCUUUGAACAGUGAGGCCCAUACUCGACCUUGGGCCGAGUGGUGUGGUCCGAGUACUAUUCAAUCUUGGGCCUUUGGUCGAUUGAAGCCCACACUCGGCCUACAGCCGAGUAGUACGGUCGAGUGUGACCUGAAAUUCUCCAGAAGUCUUUUUCCCUGAAACACUUAAACAAAAACAUCAAAAAUAACAAGAAAGCAAUAUAUACAAGGAUAGACAUGGGAUUUCCUCCCAAGUGAGCUUGUUUAAAGUCCUUAAGCUUGACUCUCACAAUGUUUAGGUAGAGAAGAGAUUGAGGAGAGGAACUGAGAAGUCCUCAUCCUCACUUGCUGAAUCCUCAAAGUCUGAAUCAUACUCCGCAUUUUCUCUUGAUAGCUGGAGUGUGGAGUACUCAUUUGAUCUUUCCUCAAAGUAAGCCUCCUUCUCAUCAGUACUAUAGUCCUCUUUUCCAAGAUCGGGGUUCCUCAAAGUAUUCAUCAAUCUCAGGACCUGGGUAACCUUUAAUCAUCUCCUUAAGCUCCAGGAUAGCGUAGUUCAGCUCCUCCAUCUUGAGGUCCAACUUUUCCAUGGUCUCUCCUUGAGCUCCAUACUGUUUCCUGAGCUCCAUAAGCUCUCUAGCAAUAGGACCAACAUCAAAAUGGUUCCCCUUAGUCUCAACCUCUAAGCUAGGUCCUCCUUCUAUCAUAAGAAGCUCCUCGGGCUCUCCUAGGUGGUGAGUCGGAAUGGAGUACGGAAUAGGAUUUUCUAACCCACUCAACAACUCAGCAUCUAAAUUUCCUUCUUCAAUGAAGAAAAGCUGCCCUUCUAUAGUGGGCUUCUUCAUCUUCUUAGCAAUGUCAAAGCUCAUAUGGAGAUUCUUACCAAGGUUCAAGUCGAUCUUACCCAUUUGCACAUCGAUAAGAGCGCCCGCAGUUGCUAAAAAUGGUCUCCCAAGAAUGAGAGGGUCUUUCGGUUCCUCAUCCAUCUCUAGAACCACAAAGUCGGUUGGAAUCUCAAUCGAUCCGAUCUUUACCGGUAAGUCUUCUAGCAUCCCAUGAGGCACUCUCACUGAUCUAUCAGCUAGAAUAAGAUGAAUGCUGCUAGGCUUGAACUUAUUAAAUCACAAUCUCUUUGCAACAGACAAAGGCAUCAAACUAACUGAAGCUCCCAAAUCACAAAGACUAUUGUUGAACACUAAGGGUCCUAGUGAACAAGGUAGAGUAAAGGAACCUGGAUCACCUAGCUUCUUUGGUAUCACCUUCCUUUGAAUGAUAGCGCUGCACUCAAAACUCAAUUCAACUAUUUGCUGAGCUUCUUGGGGUCUUUCCAUGAUUACUUCCUUGGGAGUAUCAACCAAAGGUAUCUUCUCUUCUAACUCUUUGAUACACUUUAUGAACAUCAUCUUGUGUUUCUGGAAGAUCCUUGCAUUAACUUGUGCAAUCCUUUCUGGAAAGUAUGGUUUAGGUUCAUAGGCAGGUGGAAUACGGAUUGGGUUGCUCGGGUCAUAUGCUCGUUCGACAAGCCAAGCAAAGAAGUCGAGUUCAAUCUCCUGUCUUGAUCUUGGUCUCAAAACCUCCCCUUCUUGAAUCCCACUGUCCGCAGUGGCAGAAGUACUCACUGUGGUGAUAGCAUGGGCAUACUCCUUUGGAUUUUGAACAGAGUUUCUAGGAAGUUGUCCAGGGUGCUUAGGAGCUGAAGUAGAAGCAAUGUGUCCUUCCAUGGUCUUGACUCUAGUGUUAAGUGCGUCUAUCUUUAUAUUCAGGUCAUUAUAAGAGCAAUCAAUCCUGGUGGUGAGCUCAGCUAGCUUCUUAUCCAUGGUCAUGGAGCAUGAGGCCUGUCCUUGCAAAAGCUGAUGAAGUAGAGUCUUCAUCUCUGAGUCUUGUGCUGAAGUUUGCUGUGGCUGCUGGGUGAAGCCUGGAGGUCCAAAGUUCUGCUUUUGGUUGUAGCCUUGGUUAUAGGGUAUAAAGGGCUUAGCUUGAGGUGGUUGGUUCUGUGGGGGGUACACUUGAUCUUGUGGGUUUGCCACAUUGUUGCUUCUGUAAGAGAGAUUAGGGUGAGGGGGUUUGUAGUUGUUGAAUCCCUUGUUGUAGCCACCUUGAUUUUGUAGGUAGCUCACCUCCUCAAUAGUAAGAUUCUCCCCUUCUUGGAGUUGUGUAAGCUCUUCUUCUGUAAUGUAGUGGACAUUUCUCUGUUGAGCAAGCACCAAUUUGUCAAUCUUAUCAUUAAGAGCUUUGUUCUCCUUUUGUGCCUAUCCUCAGAAUCGCUACUGCCUCUGUUAGUGCGAUCGUAGUUCUCAUUGUAAUUCCCAUCAGAUUGUGCUAGGUUUUCAACAAGUUCCCAACCUUCAGCUACAUCUUUGUUGAGAAAGUUACCAUUGGAAGUUGUGUCCAAGAGCAUCCGGAUCUUUGGUAAGGCACCUCGGUAUAGAGUACUGAGUAGGGAAGCCUUCUUGAAUCCGUGGUGCGGGCACUGAGUGCUAUAUCCUUUAAAACGCUCCCAUGCCUCAGCGAAUGAUUCCGAAUUCUUCUGAUUGAAUCCCGAGAUCUCAUUCCUCAAUCUAGCCGUUCUUGAGUUAGAGAAGAACUUGGCUAGGAAAGCCUUCUUGCAGUCAUCCAAAGUGUCUACAGAAUCAACGGGCAAAGUCUUUUCCCAAAGAUGAGCUUUAUCUCCUAGUGAGAAAGGGAAUAACCUGAGCUUGAAGCUGUCUUCACUAACUCCAUUGAUCUUGGUGAGACUACAGAGUCUAUCAAAGUUAUCAAGAUGGUCCAAUGGGUCCUCCAUUGGCAGUCCAUGAAACUUGUUGCUUUGAAUCAUGGAGAUAAGACCACUCUUGAUCUCAAAGUUGUUGUUCUGAAUAGGAGGUGGGACAAUACCAGCUCUCUGAUGGUGGUUUCUAGGUGCAUCACCAGCACCAAUGUUGCCUGGCAACUCAUUAGCAUUCACCUCAUUAGCCAUCACUACUGGGUUUGAAGUGGCUUGUUGUUCCCUGAGUUCACGCUGAAUCCUGUCGAUGUCGUCUCUGUAUAGCAGGAGAUUACCAGAACCUUGAGAACGAGUUUGCAUACGUUUUGAUCUUACUCGGUUGAUGUACUCGACGUGCUAGUCGAGUAGGAGUACCUGCAAGACAAAAACAAGCAAAUGAAGAAACAAGUGAGUAACCAGAAAGAAAGAAAUAGAACUUGAUCUUAAUAACUCAGAAAUCCUAAAUGUAACAAGAAAAACACCCAAAUGGCAACGGCGCCAAAUUGAUACAAGUGUUUUCGGUGUGUCAAUUCCCUAAGUGCAUCUUAUGUCAUUGCAGCAUUUAAGUUGUCAAUCUAAAUGGGUGUAAUUGCUAUCAAUCAGGAUAUGAUCAGAGAAUACUAAGUCAAGCCAAGUGUGAAUAGGUUUGGUGUGUUUCUACAAAAACCUAAGCAACAAGUUAACAUGCAAAUCAAAUUCAGGAAUAAAACUAUACUAAGCAGAAGAUAAAGGACUCAAAUGACAAGAACAGAAAGUAAACCAAGCACUAGGUAAAGCACUCAGUCGAGCAAACGAGUAAGAAGGUCGAGUCCAAUACUAAAAACACCAAUUUUGCACGAAACGAACAGAGUACUAAAAACACGAGUUUUGCACGAAUAAACUAAACAGAGCUCUUAAGAAUGGGGUAAUUGGUCUUAGUGGACUCCUCAAUCCAUUAGCUAACUAACAAACUCAAUCAAGCUAUCCCUAGACAAUAGAUUCAAAACCAAAUCAAGCCACUUCCGUGUGAAUGAUUCUCAUAACUUUAGAACUUCUUAAUCUCAAUUUCCAUUGAUGAAACAUAAUAAAGCAGGUU